UGCCAGCCGCCGCGGUAAUACGGAGGGUGCAAGCGUUGCUCGGAAUUAUUGGGCGUAAAGGGUAGGUAGGUGGUCUCAUUUGUCAGGGGUGAAAGCCUUGGGCUUAACUCAAGAAGUGCCCCUGAAACGGUGAGACUGGAGUCCUGGAGAGGGUCGUGGAAUUCCCGGUGUAGCGGUGAAAUGCGUAGAGAUCGGGAGGAACACCAGAGGCGAAGGCGGCGACCUGGACAGGUACUGACACUCAACUACGAAAGCGUGGGGAGCAAACAGGAUUAGAUA
rnacentral:rRNA from 1 species